GAUGAACGCUAGCUACAGGCUUAACACAUGCAAGUCGAGGGGAAACGACAUUGAAAGCUUGCUUUGAUGGGCGUCGACCGGCGCACGGGUGAGUAACGCGUAUCCAACCUGCCCACCACUUGGGGGAUAACCUUGCGAAAGUAAGACUAAUACCCGAUGAUAUCUCUAGACGACAUCUGAAAGGGAUUAAAAGAUUUAUCGGUGAUGGAUGGGGAUGCGUCUGAUUAGCUUGUUGGCGGGGUAACGGCCCACCAAGGCAACGAUCAGUAGGGGUUCUGAGAGGAAGGUCCCCCACAUUGGAACUGAGACACGGUCCAAACUCCUACGGGAGGCAGCAGUGAGGAAUAUUGGUCAAUGGGCGAGAGCCUGAACCAGCCAAGUAGCGUGCAGGACGACGGCCCUAUGGGUUGUAAACUGCUUUUAUAAGGGAAUAAAGUGAGUCUCGUGAGACUUUUUGCAUGUACCUUAUGAAUAAGGACCGGCUAAUUCCGUG
rnacentral:rRNA from 1 species